GACGUAGGGCGCGAGCGUUGUCCGGAUUUAUUGGGCGUAAAGAGCUCGUAGGCGGCUUGUCGCGUCGACCGUGAAAACUUGGGGGCUCAAACCCCCAAGGCCUGCGGUCGAUACGGGGCAGGCUCGAGUUCGGUAGGGGAGGACUGGAAUUCCUGGUGUAGCGGUGAAAUGACGCAGAUAUCAGGAGGAACACCGAUGGCGAAGGCAGGUCUCUGGGCCACUACUGACGCUGAGGCGCGAAAGCCAGGGGGAGCGAACGGG
rnacentral:rRNA from 1 species